GACGAACGCUGGCGGCGUGCUUAACACAUGCAAGUCGAGCGGUAAGGCCCUUUCGGGGGUACGACGAGCGGCGAACGGGUGAGUAACACGUGGGUGACCUGCCCUCAGCUCUGGGAUAAAGCCUGGGAAACCGGGUCUAAUACCGGAUAUGACUCCAUGACGCAUGUUGGUGGGGUGGAAAGCCUUGUGCGGCUGAGGAUGGGCCCGCGGCCUAUCAGCUUUGUUGGGUGGGGUGANGGCCUACCAAGGCGACGACGGGUAGCCGGCCUGAGAGGG
rnacentral:rRNA from 1 species